rnacentral:rRNA from 1 species
AUUGAACGCUGGCGGCAUGCUUUACACAUGCAAGUCGAACGGCAGCGCGGGCUUCGGCCUGGCGGCGAGUGGCGAACGGGUGAGUAAUACAUCGGAAAGUGCCCAGUAGUGGGGGAUAGCUCGGCGAAAGCCGGAUUAAUACCGCAUACGACCUGAGGGUGAAAGCGGGGGAUCUUCGGACCUCGCGCUAUUGGAGCGGCCGAUGGCAGAUUAGCAAGUUGGUGGGGUAAAGGCCUACCAAGGCGACGAUCUGUAGCUGGUCUGAGAGGACGACCAGCCACACUGGGACUGAGACACGGCCCAGACUCCUACGGGAGGCAGCAGUGGGGAAUUUUGGACAAUGGGCGAAAGCCUGAUCCAGCAAUGCCGCGUGUGUGAUGAAGGCCUUCGGGUUGUAAAGCACUUUUGGCGGGAACGAAAAGGACUGUGCCAAUACCACGGUUCGAUGACGGUACCCGCAGAAUAAGCACCGGCUAACUACGUG